rnacentral:rRNA from 1 species
UGGGGAAUAUUGCACAAUGGGCGAAAGCCUGAUGCAGCAAUGCCGCGUGUGUGAAGAAGGCUCUAGGGUUGUAAAGCACUUUCAAUAAGGAAGAAAAGCAUAUGGUUAAUAACCAUAUGUAUUGACGUAACUUAUACAAGAAGCACCGGCUAAUUCCGUGCCAGCAGCCGCGGUAAUACGGAAGGUGCAAGCGUUAAUCGGAAUUACUGGGCGUAAAGCGCGCGUAGGCUGUUAUUUAAGUCGGAUGUGAAAUCCUCGGGCUCAACCUGGGAACUGCAUCCGAAACUGAAUAACUAGAGUAUGGGAGAGGUAAGUAGAAUUUCCGGUGUAGCGGUGAAAUGCGUAGAUAUCGGAAGGAAUACCAGUGGCGAAGGCGGCUUACUGGACCAAUACUGACGCUGAGGUGCGAAAGCGUGGGGAGCGAACAGG